UACAGAGGUCUCAACCGUUGUUCGGAUUCAUUGGGCGUAAAGGGUGCGUAGGCGGUCGCGCAAGUCGGAUGUGAAAUCUUAGGGCUCAACCCUGAAACUGCAUUCGAUACUGCGUGGCUCGAGUGACUGGAGAGGAGACUGGAAUUUACGGUGUAGCAGUGAAAUGCGUAGAUAUCGUAAGGAAGACCAGUGGCGAAGGCGAGUCUCUGGACAGUUACUGACGCUGAGGCACGAAGGCCAGGGGAGCAAACGGG
rnacentral:rRNA from 1 species